rnacentral:rRNA from 1 species
CACGUAGGGCGCAAGCGUUGUCCGGAAUUAUUGGGCGUAAAGCGCACGUAGGCGGUUCGUUAAGUCGGAUGUGAAAGCCCUCGGCUCAACUGAGGAAGUGCACCCGAAACUGGCGAGCUUGAGUACGAAAGAGGAUCGCGGAAUUCCCGGUGUAGAGGUGAAAUUCGUAGAUAUCAGGAGGAACACCGGUGGCGAAGGCGGGUCUCUGGGCCGAUACUGACGCUGAGGAGCGAAAGCGUGGGGAGCGAACAGG